rnacentral:rRNA from 1 species
UACAGAGGUCCCAAGCGUUACUGAGAAUCACUGGGUUUAAAGGGUGCGUAGGUGGUCCGUUAAGUCAGUUGUGAAAUCCCCGGGCUCAACCCGGGAACUGCUUCUGAUACUGGCGGACUUGAGGCCAGUAGAGGUCACUGGAACUGACGGUGGAGCGGUGAAAUGCGUAGAUAUCGUAAGGAAGACCAGUGGCGAAGGCGGGUCUCUGGACAGUUCCUGACGCUGAGGCACGAAGGCCAGGGGAGCAAACGGG